AGGUCCAAGCCCUAACCCCUUAUCACUCCCUCUCACUCACACCUGCGUCUCCCCCACCCCUUUUGUCCCUCUCCUCCUCACACACACUAGUCACCAGGAACACACCCUCGCCCCUCACCUCUUGUCUCCUCCGGCGAAGAACCGCCGGUCAGUCAUCUCCCUCGCCCCCAUUUCUCUCGACUCCACAGUCGACGGUAGCAGCGGCGAAGAGCCGGCCACCGCCGCCUCUCGUCUUAUCUCCCCCGACUUCCCUCUCUUCUCAGCCCUAAAUCCCCAACACCGAAUCCCUUUUCUCCGAUUCCGGCGAGCAGCAGCAGCAGCAGCUAGUGAAGCCAGCCACCGCCGCACGCCUCAAAGCCUCCCUUUCCUUUGCUCCGGAUGAAACGACGACCGAGCCGCCGCCGCCGCCGCCGAGCACUAGAUCUAGACACCUCCCUUGUAUUUCUCUUCAAUCCCCGACGACUAUAGCCGCCUCCCCGACUCUCUUUCUCCGACUGAAAAUAGGGCACACCUACACACCACCGGCCAGCUACCACCGCUCGGCUUUCGAACGGAGGCGCCGUCUGAGCCCUAGCCCCGAGACCACCGAUUCCCACUCUUCUUUGCUCCGACUACCGGCGACAGCAGCGAGGAGCCGCCACCACCGCGCGGCCCGUUUUCUGCCCCUCGACUUCAAACAGUCAGCAACAACACUCAACAUUCAACAACCAAAACCAAGACUCAAGUUUGAAUUUUUACAGCUGCAAUCUACUUUUAUUCCUCUUGUUCAGUCAAUACAACAUGUAAAAUUUGAUUUCUUUGUUUUUCUUGUAUGACUGGGUGAGUUGAUUUGCAAAGUCCUAAUGGUGUUUGAAUCAUGAUUAGUCAAUGGAAGAGAUUGAAAGAGGGGUUUAAAGAAUUGGGUACUUAGGUACAAACUGGUGUCCAAAGCUCAAAAGCCCGCGCUAGAGCGGAAAAGUUCGCGCCAGAGCAGAACGAAAAUGCCAGCCAGAGCUGACCAUCUACAGAGCUGAACUUCACUAUCAUAACAAACUUGUCAGAGCAGAGCUAAGACUCGACAGAGCUAAGGUUCCAAAUCUGAACAUUCCAGAGCCGAUACAGAGCUAAGGUUCCAGAUUUGAACAUUCCAGAGCCGAUCUUAUCCAGAGCGUACAAUUUUUCAGAGCUGACUUUACGCGUCAGAGUCAACUUAUUUCUACAGAGUUAACAUAUUUCACCAGAAUCAACAUAUCUUUCCAGAGCGUACUUCCAGCUCUGACUUGACGCGCCAGAGUUAACACAAUUUCAGAGCAGGCGAUUUUUCGCCAGAGCCGCCAAUACUUGCAGAGCACGUUUCCAGUCGGACUUUCCUUCCCUGUUACGAUUCUAUUUCCUUAAGCCAAGUUUGUUGGGCCGAUUUUGAUGGUAAUUAGGGUUGGAAUGAAGUCUAUAAAUAGGGUCUUAAUAUUCAUUGUAAUAAUCACUCAUUUGCCCUAAUCUUUCGUUCCACCUUGAAGAAUCAUCCUUCCGCAAGGCAACAAAGACUUACGGGUGUUAAAAGUCUGGGUGUAUUCGUUCAAGACUUUUAAAAGUCUGCAGAAAUUUGGGUGUAUUCGUUCAAGACUUUUAAAAGUUCAUAUAAAUCUAGGUGUAUUCGUUCAAGACUUUUUAAAA